AUUUAAAUAGUUUAUAUAAAAUACUGGUUUGUGGAAUCAGUGAUGUACAUUUGUAUUUUAAAUA
rnacentral:tRNA from 1 species